GACGAACGCUGGCGGCGUGCUUAACACAUGCAAGUCGAACGGAAAGGCCCUGCUUUUGUGGGGUGCUCGAGUGGCGAACGGGUGAGUAACACGUGAGUAACCUGCCCUUGACUUUGGGAUAACUUCAGGAAACUGGGGCUAAUACCGGAUAGGAGCUCCUGCUGCAUGGUGGGGGUUGGAAAGUUUCGGCGGUUGGGGAUGGACUCGCGGCUUAUCAGCUUGUUGGUGGGGUAGUGGCAUACCAAGGCUUUGACGGGUAGCCGGCCUGAGAGGGUGACCGGCCACAUUGGGACUGAGAUACGGCCCAGACUCCUACGGGAGGCAGCAGUGGGGAAUAUUACACAAUGGGCGGAAGCCUGAUGCAGCAACGCCGCGUGCGGGAUGACGGCCUUCGGGUUGUAAACCGCUUUCGCCUGUGACGAAGCGUGAGUGACGGUAAUGGGUAAAGAAGCACCGGCUAACUACGUG
rnacentral:rRNA from 1 species